CAAAGUCAUUGUGGAAGCUGAAGACAGAUAUAAAAGUGAACUAAGGAAAUCACUUAUCUGUAACAAAAGUAAUUAAUUCAGCAGCUUUAAAAUUAAAUUCUGCUGACCCCACGUAGAAGACAACGACUCAGUAAUGAAUCUACUACCCCUGGAGGAAUAAGUGAAUAUAUUUAAUUUAAUUUUUUUUUUCUUGAGACAGGGUCUGGCUCUGUUACCCAGGAUGGAGUGCAGUGGAGCAAUCUCGGCUCACUGCAGCCUCCGCCUCCCAGGUUCAAGUGAUUCUCCUGCCUCAGCCUCCUAAGUAGCUGGGAUUACAGACAUGUGCCACCACACCCUGCUGGUUUUUGUAUUUUUAGUAGAGAUGGGGUUUCACCAUGUUGGCCAGGCUGGUCUCAAACUCCUGACCUCAAGUGAUCCACCCACCUUGGCCUCCCAAAGUGCUGGGAUUUCAGGCAUGAGCCAUUGCACCUGGCUGAAUAUAUUUAAUUUUUAAAUGAACUUAAAUUUCAUAUAUUUCUGAGAAAGAACAGCUGAGUGGUUGUUCUCAGUCUUAUUAUUAAUGGAUCUUAAAUGAUAAACCUUGCCUCUGAUGAGGGUCAGACCUUCUAAUAAAAGAGACUUUCCUCUUC
rnacentral:lncRNA from 10 species